GGGAAUGUGGCUUAGUGGUAGGGUGCUUGCCUACCAUGCAUGAAGUUCUGGGUUCGACUCCUCAGUCCCA
rfam:Dipodomys ordii contig_95737, whole genome shotgun sequence.